rnacentral:tmRNA from 1 species
GGGGAUGUUUUGGUUUUGACAGCGCUGAUGUCGGACGGUAAGCAUGCCGGGCGUUGGAACCUUGCCCGUUAAUCUCAGAUUCCGAACAAUAGUUGCUAACAACAACAAUUACGCACUCGCUGCCUAAUUUGACUCAGUCAAUUAGCUUAAUCCGCGUUGCCUAGGCUGCAGCGCCGACGAGUAUCCCUCGGACUUUAUGCCUGUUAUGUUCCGAUCAAGGGGUAUCAAUUCAAACGGGACGCUCCGGUGGACUUCUCUAAAGCCGGCUAAGAUUCAGAGGAUAAGGCUGGACCGGCCCGUCUUUCGGCAAGUCCUCCCCGACAACCAAAGGAAGAAUAAGCAUGUAGAAAGCCGCCUGGUGCGACGUUUGGACGGCGGUUCGAGUCCGCCCAUCUCCACU